UACGUAGGGUCCGAGCGUUGUCCGGAUUUAUUGGGCGUAAAGAGCGUGUAGGCGGCCAUACAGGUCCGUUGUGAAAACUGGAGGCUUAACCUCCAGACGUCGAUGGAAACCGUAUGGCUAGAGUCCGGAAGAGGAGAGUGGAAUUCCUGGUGUAGCGGUGAAAUGCGCAGAUAUCAGGAAGAACACCCGUGGCGAAGGCGGCUCUCUGGGACGGUACUGACGCUGAGACGCGAAAGCGUGGGGAGCGAACAGG
rnacentral:rRNA from 1 species